rnacentral:misc_RNA from 1 species
GGUUGGGGUUGGGGUUUUGCUGCACACGAAGGGAGGGGCUUUAAAGCCCAUAUGCUCUAGGAUAAGAACAAAAUAUACAACGGAGAAGCCGCAAUGUCAGUCAGGUUCAACAGGGGUGUCAGGCAAAAGCAGGAACCUUCCCACAAGAAAAUCCUUCGAUUCUCACUUUGGGGCUUCCAGUGAAGGAGGAACCACAUGAUGGAGACCCUCGAUCACCUCUUGGCUUCAUCCCGAGGGAACCACCUAAAGGGGAAGCCACUGAAUGUGUUUGCUUUGCAAACUGAGCAUCAUGGACUAUAGGGUUGUUA